rnacentral:rRNA from 1 species
CCUACGGGAGGCAGCAGUGGGGAAUUUUGGACAAUGGGCGCAAGCCUGAUCCAGCAAUGCCGCGUGCAGGAUGAAGGCCUUCGGGUUGUAAACUGCUUUUGUACGGAACGAAACGGUUCGCUUUAAUAAAGUGGGCUAAUGACGGUACCGUAAGAAUAAGCACCGGCUAACUACGUGCCAGCAGCCGCGGUAAUACGUAGGGUGCGAGCGUUAAUCGGAAUUACUGGGCGUAAAGCGUGCGCAGGCGGUGAUGUAAGACAGAUGUGAAAUCCCCGGGCUCAACCUGGGACCUGCAUUUGUGACUGCAUCGCUAGAGUACGGUAGAGGGGGAUGGAAUUCCGCGUGUAGCAGUGAAAUGCGUAGAUAUGCGGAGGAACACCGAUGGCGAAGGCAAUCCCCUGGACCUGUACUGACGCUCAUGCACGAAAGCGUGGGGAGCAAACAGGAUUAGAUACCCUGGUAGUCCACGCCCUAAACCGAUGUCAACUGGUUGUUGGGUCUUCACUGACUCAGUAACGAAGCUAACGCGUGAAGUUGACCGCCUGGGGAGUACGGCCGCAAGUUGAAACGUCAAAUGAAUUGAGGCUGAGAGNGCGACGGCGACACGAGGGAGGAGG